AUGAACGCUGGCGGCGUGCCUAAUACAUGCCAGUAGAACGCUGAAGGAGGAGCUUGCUCUUCUGGAUGAGUUGCGAACGGGUGAGUAACGCGUAGGUAACCUGCCUGGUAGCGGGGGAUAACUAUUGGAAACGAUAGCUAAUACCGCAUGACAACAGUUAUUGCAUGAUAACUGUUUAAAAGGGGCAACUGCUCCACUACCAGAUGGACCUGCGUUGUAUUAGCUAGUUGGUGAGGUAACGGCUCACCAAGGCGACGAUACAUAGCCGACCUGAGAGGGUGAUCGGCCACACUGGGACUGAGACACGGCCCAGACUCCUACGGGAGGCAGCAGUAGGGAAUCUUCGGCAAUGGACGGAAGUCUGACCGAGCAACGCCGCGUGAGUGAAGAAGGUUUUCGGAUCGUAAAGCUCUGUUGUAAGAGAAGAACGAGUGUGAGAGUGGAAAGUUCACACUGUGACGGUAUCUUACCAGAAAGGGACGGCUAACUACGUG
rnacentral:rRNA from 1 species